AUCAGAGUACUGGUACUUUGUGUUCUGGUCCGAUCCAGUCUGGUCAGGUUGGACCCGGUCCAAUAACCUCCCCUCCCCCCUUCAGGGUGCUGAAAGGUGCGAGAGGCGCUAUCUAUUGAAUCAGGGCAAACAAAAGAAGCUGAUUGGUCCACAAACAGUAAAACCCCGCCCACCCGUCAUCGUCACCCAAGCAUCCUAUUGGUUGCCUACAUCAUUCAGAAAAAAAAACAGAGCGAGCCCCUUCUCCCAUUGGUCAGUGUAGCCUUAGGCAACAAAGGCCGUUUUCCCAUUGGUCAGUGUUGAUAACACGCCAACUGUCAGUCACUCAGCAGCGGCCAAUCAGGUUACAGUACAUUACCUGUGGAACCUUCAGGAAUAACAAAAAGAAAAA